UGGCUCAGGAUGAACGCUGGCGGCGUGCCUAACACAUGCAAGUCGAGCGAUUCUCUUCGGAGAAGAGCGGCGGACGGGUGAGUAACGCGUGGGUAACCUGCCUCAUACACGUGGAUAACAUACCGAAAGGUAUGCUAAUACAGGAUAACAUAAGAGAUUCACAUGGAUUUCUUAUCAAAGCUCCGGCGGUAUGAGAUGGACCCGCGUCUGAUUAGCUAGUUGGUAAGGUAACGGCUUACCAAGGCGACGAUCAGUAGCCGACCUGAGAGGGUGAUCGGCCACAUUGGAACUGAGACACGGUCCAAACUCCUACGGGAGGCAGCAGUGGGGAAUAUUGCACAAUGGGCGAAAGCCUGAUGCAAGCAACGCCGCGUGAGUGAUGAAGGCCUUCGGGUCGUAAAACUCUGUCCUCAAGGAAGAUAAUGACGGUACUUGAGGAGGAAGCCCCGGCUAACUACGUGCCAGCAGCUGC
rnacentral:rRNA from 1 species